rnacentral:rRNA from 1 species
UACGUAGGGUGCGAGCGUUAGUCGGAAUUACUGGGCGUAAAGCGUGCGCAGGCGGUUGUGCAAGACCGAUGUGAAAUCCCCGGGCUUAACCUGGGAAUGGCAUUGGUGACUGCACGGCUAGAGUGUGUCAGAGGGGGGUAGAAUUCCACGUGUAGCAGUGAAAUGCGUAGAGAUGUGGAGGAAUACCGAUGGCGAAGGCAGCCCCCUGGGAUAACACUGACGCUCAUGCACGAAAGCGUGGGGAGCAAACAGG